rnacentral:rRNA from 1 species
CAGAGACCUCAAGCGUUAUCCGGAAUCAUUGGGCGUAAAGCGUACCGAUAGGUUGUUUUACAAGUCAGGGGUGAAAUCUCAAGGCUCAACUUUGAGACUGUCUCUUGAAACUGUAAAACUAGAGGGGUAAAGAGGAAGCUGGAACGAACGGUGUAGUAGUGAAAUGCGUUGAUAUCGUUCGGAACACCGAUAGCGAAGGCAGGCUUCUGGGUACCACCUGACACUGCUAGGACGAAAGCGUGGGGAGCGAAUGGGAUUAGAUACCCCAGUAGUCCACGCUGUAAACGAUGCACAUUCGGCGCUAGAGAGUAUCGACCCUCUUUAGUGCCAAAGCUAACGCGUUAAAUGUGCCGCCUGGGGAGUACGGCCGCAAGGCUA